rnacentral:rRNA from 1 species
AAUAUUGCACAAUGGGCGCAAGCCUGAUGCAGCCAUGCCGUCGUGUAUGAAGUAAGGCCUUCGGGUUGUAAAGUACUUUCAGCAGUGAGAAGGUUGGAUAUGUUAAUAGCAUAUUCAUUUGACGUUAGCUGCAGAAGAAGCACCGGCUAACUCCGUGCCAGCAGCCGCGGUAAUACGGAGGGUGCGAGCGUUAAUCGGAAUUACUGGGCGUAAAGCGCAUGCAGGUGGUUGUUAAGUCAGAUGUGAAAGCCCGGGGCUCAACCUCGGAAUUGCAUUUGAAACUGGCAAACUAGAGUACUGUAGAGGGGGUAGAAUUUCAGGUGUAGCGGUGAAAUGCGUAGAGAUCUGAAGGAAUACCGGUGGCGAAGGCGGCCCCCUGGACAGAUACUGACACUCAGAUGCGAAAGCGUGGGGAGCAAACAGGAUUAGAUACCCUGGUAG